GAACUGAAGAGUUUGAUCAUGGCUCAGAUUGAACGCUGGCGGCAGGCCUAACACAUGCAAGUCGAGCGGAUGAAGGGAGCUUGCUCCCUGAUUCAGCGGCGGACGGGUGAGUAAUGCCUAGGAAUCUGCCUGGUAGUGGGGGACAACGUCUCGAAAGGGACGCUAAUACCGCAUACGUCCUACGGGAGAAAGUGGGGGCUCUUCGGACCUCACGCUAUCAGAUGAGCCUAGGUCGGAUUAGCUAGUUGGUGAGGUAAUGGCUCACCAAGGCGACGAUCCGUAACUGGUCUGAGAGGAUGAUCAGUCACACUGGAACUGAGACACGGU
rnacentral:rRNA from 1 species